CCGCGCGUAGCUCAGUGGACGGAGCAGGGAGCUUCUACCUCCCGUGGCGCAGGUUCGAAUCCUGCCGCGCGCACCA
rnacentral:tRNA from 2 species